UACGGAGGGGGCUAGCGUUGUUCGGAAUUACUGGGCGUAAAGCGCACGUAGGCGGUUUUGUAAGUUAGAGGUGAAAGCCCGGGGCUCAACUCCGGAAUUGCCUUUAAGACUGCAUCGCUAGAAUUGUGGAGAGGUAAGUGGAAUUCCGAGUGUAGAGGUGAAAUUCGUAGAUAUUCGGAAGAACACCAGUGGCGAAGGCGACUUACUGGACACAUAUUGACGCUGAGGUGCGAAAGCGUGGGGAGCAAACAGG
rnacentral:rRNA from 1 species